ensembl:lncRNA
AGUGUUUUAUGGAGGAUUAGAGCUGAGAUCCUACAGCUGACAGUUCUGACUGAUUGGACGCCACACAGAUAGCAGGGCCUUUAAUGGAUCUGCACUGGGAGAAGCAGCACAGGGAGGGAACGGAAAAUCCAAUUGCCAAAAUAUACACGGACCGGAAACAACAACAACCCAUUUGUACCAUGCUGUAAUGCAGCCUUGCUAGUAUUUCAGUUAUAUGGCAUUUGUUUAAACACAGCACCUUUAUCUCAGCAAUGUUUCAGAGAUAACUAAGGGUUAGGCUUGUUCAAAUGUGUUGAAAGUUCUAUGGAACGAAUGUACUUUUUAACGUCACUGUUGCUGAUGUGCUAUGGAGUUGAGCAUAUCAGCAGUGAAGAGCAGGUGAAAGUUUGUAAUAAUUGGAUUGGGAUAAGCUCAUGAGUCCCUUUGGUUCACGUUUAAUAAGUUGUACACACAUUUAGAAACAGUUAAUCAUUAGCUACAGUGCAUUACUUCCUAAACAGCUUUAAACAUUUUGUGUGUUUUGCUGCUGUCGUGUUUUUUUCACAGUAAUAACUAGAUGUGGUCUGUCACACACUUCUGCGAUGC